UCCCGUCCGCUCAGCCGUACUUAAGCCACACGCCGGGAGGUUAGUAGUUGGGUGGGUGACCACCAGCGAAUCCCUUCUGUUGUAUGUU
rnacentral:rRNA from 2 species